UGCAAUUAGAUUAGGAUUUUUAAUAAUAGUUGUCUUCUUCACCUUCACUUGUAUUUUUGGAGCUUGUUUGUUGUGUAGUUUUGCUUUCUCGAUGCAAAAUGGCUUUCAAGAUGUCCGACAAUUUGCUGUCAGCAAUUUACAUCCGGAAGAAAAGUUAAAAAUCUUAAAUUUCAUGAAGAGAUUUGGGAAAGUGUCGUUGUGUUUCAUGAUCGGUGGUAUUUAUCCAGUUACGAAAAGAAUUCCUUUCAAAGUUGCGAGUAAUUUACAUUCUUUCUUUUCGGCAUUUAUGAAACUUAAAGGAAUAUCGAAAGAAGAAA